GACGAACGCUGGCGGCGUGCCUGACACAUGUAAGUCGCACGGGACCGGGGGCAACUCCGGUUCAGUGGCAGACGGGUGCGUAACACGUGAAGAACCUGUCCAAUGGUGGGGGAUAGCCGGCCCAACGGCCGGGUAAUACCGCAUACGAUCGUUCGGGGGCAUCCCUGGGCGAUGAAAGCAGCCGCAAGGUUGCGCCGAUGGAGGGCUUCGCGGCCUAUCAGCUAGUUGGCGGGGUAACGGCCCACCAAGGCGACGACGGGUAGCUGGUCUGAGAGGAUGGCCAGCCACAUUGGGACUGAGACACGGCCCAGACUCCUACGGGAGGCAGCAGUGGGGAAUCUUGCGCAAUGGCCGCAAGGCUGACGCAGCGACGCCGCGUGUGGGAUGACGGCCUUCGGGUUGUAAACCACUGUCGGGAGGAACGAAUACUCGGCUUCGAUAAGGAGACCGAGGGUGACGGUACCUCCAAAGGAAGCACCGGCUAACUCCGUGC
rnacentral:rRNA from 1 species